UGGCGGACGGGUGAGUAAUGUCUGGGAAACUGCCCGAUGGAGGGGGAUAACUACUGGAAACGGUAGCUAAUACCGCAUAACGUCGCAAGACCAAAGAGGGGGACCUUAGGGCCUCUUGCCAUCGGAUGUGCCCAGAUGGGAUUAGCUAGUAGGUGGGGUAACGGCUUACCUAGGCGACGAUCCCUAGCUGGUCUGAGAGGAUGAUCAGCCACACUGGGACUGAGACACGGCCCAG
rnacentral:rRNA from 1 species